rnacentral:tRNA from 1 species
GGCUUCGUAGCUCAGCUGGUAGAGCAUGCGCGUACAAAGCGUAGGCGGUGUCCAUGCGUGGGUUGGAAUCCCACCGAGGCUA